GACGAACGCUGGCGGCGUGCCUAAUACAUGCAAGUAGAACGCUGAAGGAGGAGCUUGCUUCUCCGGAUGAGUUGCGAACGGGUGAGUAACGCGUAGGUAACCUGCCUGGUAGCGGGGGAUAACUAUUGGAAACGAUAGCUAAUACCGCAUAACAGUAGAUGUUGCAUGACAUUUGCUUAAAAGGUGCAAUUGCAUCACUACCAGAUGGACCUGCGUUGUAUUAGCUAGUUGGUGAGGUAACGGCUCACCAAGGCGACGAUACAUAGCCGACCUGAGAGGGUGAUCGGCCACACUGGGACUGAGACACGGCCCAGACUCCUACGGGAGGCAGCAGUAGGGAAUCUUCGGCAAUGGACGGAAGUCUGACCGAGCAACGCCGCGUGAGUGAAGAGGGUUUUCGGAUCGUAAAGCUCUGUUGUAAGAGAAGAACGAGUGUGAGAGUGGAAAGUUCACACUGUGACGGUAUCUUACCAGAAAGGGACGGCUAACUACGUG
rnacentral:rRNA from 1 species